rnacentral:RNase_P_RNA from 1 species
CGAGUCGGUCAGGCGAUCGCUCCCGGUUCUGCCGGGGGAGGAAAGUCCGGGCUCCACAGGGCAGGGUGCCAGGUAACACCUGGGGGGCGUGAGCCUACGGAAAGUGCAACAGAAAGGAUACCGCCCGGCCUCGGCCGGGUAAGGGUGAAAAGGUGCGGUAAGAGCGCACCGCGUGGCUGGUAACAGGCACGGCGAUGGUAAACCCCACCCGGAGCAAGACCAAAUAGGAAUCCAUUGGCUGUGGCCCACAGCGGAUUCGGGUAGGUCGCUACAGGCCGGCGGUGACGCCGGUCGCAGAUGAAUGAUCGUCCACGACAGAACCCGGCUUACCGACCGACUCACUUA